UGGGGAAUCUUGCGCAAUGGCCGAAAGGCUGACGCAGCGACGCCGCGUGUGGGAGGACGCCCUUCGGGGUGUAAACCACUGUUGCCCGGGACGAACAGGUCUAUUCGUAGACCCUGACGGUACCGGGUGAGGAAGCACCGGCUAACUCCGUGCCAGCAGCCGCGGUAAUACGGAGGGUGCGAGCGUUGUCCGGAAUCAUUGGGCGUAAAGGGCGCGUAGGUGGCCCGGUCAGUUUGUGGUGAAAGCGCGGGGCUCAACUCCGCGUCGGCCAUGAAUACUGCUGGGCUGGAGCACUGUAGAGGCAGGCGGAAUUCCGGGUGUAGCGGUGGAAUGCGUAGAGAUCCGGAAGAACACCGGUGGCGAAGGCGGCCUGCUGGGCAGUAGCUGACACUGAGGCGCGACAGCGUGGGGAGCAAACAG
rnacentral:rRNA from 1 species